UGAAUCGUUAAUUGAUGAUGAUUGUGAUAACAUAAGGGAAAAAAAUGAUAUCACCUUAUUAUUAGUGUUGUCCAAAACUGGUGCCAGAAGACUCGGUAAGACCAGAGACGCGAACGUUAGUCAUCUUAAUCAGGCGUAAAGGGUGUGUAGGCUGCUUUGAAAAUUUAAUUCUUUCUAAUAGCUCUGUUGCAUUAUAUAUUUGUGGAGUUAGUGACAGAUGAAGCAAGGAAGGGUGUAAGAGAAAAGAAAUAAACUAAUUAAAGCUAGAAUCAAAUUUAGGAUAAGCCGAAUAAUACUUAGAGUAGGGGUUAUAUCCGCAGAUACUAAGGGGAAUACUAACGGUGAAAGCUUUUAUCUAGUAUUGAUUGACGCUGAGAAACGAAGGUGAUAAUAGGAAAUAGGAUUAGAUACCCAGAUACCUUUCACUGUCAACGAUGAAUGGUGAUUUGUUAGUUUUGGUAAAAACUAGUAAUGAUGUUAACACGAUAACCAUUCCGCCUUGCGAGUACGGUUGCAAAACUGAAACCAAAAAAAUUAGUCGGUCUCGAAGCAAACGAAGUGAAGCAUGUUAUUUAAUUCG
rnacentral:rRNA from 1 species